ACCGAAGCCCGUAACCGCCUCCGGGCGUGACGGGCGGCUGGCAUCCUCCUUCUGAGGGGUGUAUGGUGCAGCUUGGGCCGGCCUUUACGGGUCGCGACGUCCUGGUGCUGCGGCGGACCACCCCUUGGGCAACUCAGUGGGGGCAAUUGGAUGGCCUGUAGGUGCCUCUGGCGGCUUCGGCCCUGGAGGUGACUCGGGCUGGGCGUUGGGCUUCGGUCCACGUCCCGACCUUUUUAACCUAACUCGAUACCUCUUCAUUGAGGGCUGCCGGGAUGGUCUUUCGUCCUUCGGGGCGGGUGGCCUCCCGGGAAAGAUAGUUACCUGGUUGAUUCUGCCAGUAGUCAUAUGCUUGUCUCAA
rnacentral:misc_RNA from 1 species